GCACUUUUUGCCGGGCUGCGCGCCCAGGUCUGUGCGCCAUUUUCAGGGAGGCCGACUUGAGAGAGCUCAUUUUUGAGACCCUCCGGACGGGGUGAUUGUGGAGCUCUUCUUGUCUCUUGGCUGCUCAGGACAAGCCUCUUGCUUAGAAACCUGUCACCUAUCCAUCCCGAAUGAUCGGCCUCUUUCUUGGACCUCGCAGUCUCUUCUGAUAGGCGUCUUUGGGAGCCAUUUUCAGAUUUCACACCAGGAACUACCAAAUUUGUGAACUAAAAGAAAGGUGCCCAAAGUCUAGGAAAGCAGCCUGUUAUGAGUUUCUUCCCACAGUCCUAUUUCCAAACACAAUCAUAUUCUGAGGUACUUGGAGUUAGAGGACUUCAACAUAUUAAUUUGUCAGUCAGUCUGUAUGAGAUGGUAACUCCUGACGGUUGAAACUGUGACUUGUUUGCAGUUAUGUCUCCAGUACCAAUAGAGCAGUCAACAAAUAACAGGUACUCACUAUAAAUGUGCUGAACUAAUGAAUGGUUUGCUAAAUAAGUAUUUGUUCACUGUUUUUAAUGUAGGCUUUUUUUUCUUCCUAUGUAUCCACCAAAUAUGGUAAUCCCUAUUACAGUGUGCACAGAAAAUAAUGUGACAAAUUUUGCCAAGGCCAAAUAAUACUUUAUAAAAUUAAGUCAUUAAGUUGCUGUGGCAAGCCAGAAUGCAUAUGGAUCAAAUUCUAUAUUGGGAUACAUAGAUUAUUUUCUUUACAACUGAUAUCAUAAAAGUUUCUGGCACACUGGAAACUGCAAGGGAAAACAGGAAGUUAGUGUGAGUAAUGCAGUCUGUGUGGCACAACAGUACCUAAUAGGGGCAACAAAUUUAUUUCAGUAAUACAUGAAGAAAACAUCUGUAAAAAUUAAGAUUAUAUAGAAAUACAAAAUAUAAAACAAGUUCCUGUAUAAUGUUGAGCUUAAGUAUUGAUAGUGGAAAUCUCUCUCUCAUUCCUGAUCAUGAGGAUAGUUUUCAAUACUCACCAUUUAGUAUU
rnacentral:lncRNA from 1 species